rnacentral:rRNA from 1 species
GACGAACGCUGGCGGCGUGCUUAACACAUGCAAGUCGAACGGAAAGGCCCUGCUUUUGUGGGGUGCUCGAGUGGCGAACGGGUGAGUAACACGUGAGUAACCUGCCCUUGACUUUGGGAUAACUUCAGGAAACUGGGGCUAAUACCGGAUAGGAGCUCCUGCUGCAUGGUGGGGGUUGGAAAGUUUCGGCGGUUGGGGAUGGACUCGCGGCUUAUCAGCUUGUUGGUGGGGUAGUGGCGUACCAAGGCUUUGACGGGUAGCCGGCCUGGGCGGGUGACCGGCCACAUUGGGACUGAGAUACGGCCCAGACGCCUACGGGGGGCAGCAGUGGGGAAUAUUGCACAAUGGGCGGAAGCCUGAUGCAGCAACGCCGCGUGCGGGAUGACGGCCUUCGGGUUGUAAACCGCUUUCGCCUGUGACGAAGCGUGAGUGACGGUAAUGGGUAAAGAAGCACCGGCUAACUACGUG